AGACUUUAUUACAUUUAAAUUUGUAAGAAAAUGGCAGAUUCAAGUAAAAAGAAACAUUCAAGUAAAAAGAAAAGCAAAAAAUUAUUUUCUCACAAGUCUGCUAAUCAAUAUGAAGAAAUUUUUGAUGACAGGUCACAACACCAAAGUUUAAAGAAAAGAAAACACCUGUUUUAGUAAAACAAAUCGUUUGUAAAUUGCAACUCAGGAGCGUCAUCUGUAAAGUGUCACCCUAUAUUUGCUGACUUUUGAUCCCUUCCCUGUAAUGCACAUAAACAUAAAAAGUG